rnacentral:rRNA from 1 species
AGCGCAGACGGUUAUUUAAGCAAGAUGUGAAAGCCCCGGGCUCAACCUGGGAACUGCGUUUUGAACUGGGUAGCUAGAGUGUGUCAGAGGGGGGUAGAAUUCCACGUGUAGCAGUGAAAUGCGUAGAGAUGUGGAGGAAUACCGAUGGCGAAGGCAGCCCCCUGGGAUAACACUGACGUUCAUGCUCGAAAGCGUGGGUAGCAAACA